AGGUGCAAUCUGAUCCAGUAUGAA
rnacentral:siRNA from 1 species